UAGAAAGUAGUGUAAUGGAUGCACGAAGAGUUUUGAUCUCUUUAGUUAGGGUUCAAUACCCUUCUUUUUAA
rnacentral:tRNA from 1 species